rnacentral:rRNA from 1 species
UACGAAGGGGGCUAGCGUUGCUCGGAAUUACUGGGCGUAAAGGGCGCGUAGGCGGACAGUUUAGUCAGAGGUGAAAGCCCAGGGCUCAACCUUGGAAUUGCCUUUGAUACUGACUGUCUUGAGUACGGGAGAGGUGUGUGGAACUCCGAGUGUAGAGGUGAAAUUCGUAGAUAUUCGGAAGAACACCAGUGGCGAAGGCGACACACUGGCCCGUUACUGACGCUGAGGCGCGAAAGCGUGGGGAGCAAGCAGG